CUGAAAGUGGCGCUGUGACCUUAGCUGCUGAAUCAGCUUUCUGGUUACUAUGGGCAACAGCCUUGUUUUCUUUUUGAUGUCCUUUGCAGUGGAUCACAGCUACCUGCUGAGACAGACAAGGGGAGGGGGUCCUGUGAUGAGAUCAGUCAGAUGCCUGCCUGGCCGCUCCCCCUGAGGGAACUUGGGCUCCUCUUAGCAUUGGCAGGCCGGUAUAAACUUCCGGCUCAGAUCGAGAUAUGCCUGAUGCUGCCUUAAGCCUUAUGAGGUCGCCACGGAACCGCAG
rnacentral:lncRNA from 10 species